CAGUAGCCGCGGGAAUACGUAGGUGGCAAGCGUUGUCCGGAAUUAUUGGGCGUAAAGGGCUCGCAGGCGGUUUCUUAAGUCUGAUGUGAAAGCCCCCGGCUCAACCGGGGAGGGUCAUUGGAAACUGGGAAACUUGAGUGCAGAAGAGGAGAGUGGAAUUCCACGUGUAGCGGUGAAAUGCGUAGAGAUGUGGAGGAACACCAGUGGCGAAGGCGGCUCUCUGGUCUGUAACUGACGCUGAGGAGCGAAAGCGUGGGGAGCGAACAGGAUUAGAUACCCCCGUAGUCCCUGUCUCUUAUAA
rnacentral:rRNA from 1 species